GAUGAACGCUGGCGGCGUGCCUAAUACAUGCAAGUCGAGCGAACAGACGAGGAGCUUGCUCCUCUGACGUUAGCGGCGGACGGGUGAGUAACACGUGGAUAACCUACCUAUAAGACUGGGAUAACUUCGGGAAACCGGAGCUAAUACCGGAUAAUAUAUUGAACCGCAUGGUUCAAUAGUGAAAGACGGUUUUGCUGUCACUUAUAGAUGGAUCCGCGCCGCAUUAGCUAGUUGGUAAGGUAACGGUUUACAAAGGCGACGAUGCGUAGCCGACCUGAGAGGGUGGUCGGCCACACUGGAACUGAGACACGGUCCAGACUCCUACGGGAGGCAGCAGUAGGGAAUCUUCCGCAAAGGGCGAAAGCCUGACGGAGCAACGCCGCGUGAGUGAUGAAGGUCUUCGGAUCGUAAAACUCUGUUAUUAGGGAAGAACAAAUGUGUAAGUAACUAUGCACGUCUUGACGGUACCUAAUCAGAAAGCCACGGCUAACUACGUG
rnacentral:rRNA from 1 species